rnacentral:rRNA from 1 species
AGAUUAAUACAAGAUGGCAUCAUGAGUCCGCAUGUUCACAUGAUUAAAGGUAUUCCGGUAGACGAUGGGGAUGCGUUCCAUUAGAUAGUAGGCGGGGUAACGGCCCACCUAGUCUUCGAUGGAUAGGGGUUCUGAGAGGAAGGUCCCCCACAUUGGAACUGAGACACGGUCCAAACUCCUACGGGAGGCAGCAGUGAGGAAUAUUGGUCAAUGGGCGCAGGCCUGAACCAGCCAAGUAGCGUGAAGGAUGACUGCCCUAUGGGUUGUAAACUUCUUUUAUAAAGGAAUAAAGUCGGGUAUGUAUACCCGUUUGCAUGUACUUUAUGAAUAAGGAUCGGCUAACUCCGUGCCAGCAGCCGCGGUAAUACGGAGGAUCCGAGCGUUAUCCGGAUUUAUUGGGUUUAAAGGGAGCGUAGAUGGAUGUUUAAGUCAGUUGUGAAAGUUUGCGGCUCAACCGUAAAAUUNGCAGUUGAUACUGGAUAUCUUGAGUGCAGUUGAGGCAGGCGGAAUUCGUGGUGUAGCGGUGAAAUGCUUAGAUAUCACGAAGAACUCCGAUUGCGAAGGCAGCCUGCUAAGCUGCAACUGACAUUGAGGCUCGAAAGUGUGGGUAUCAAACAGGAUUAGAUACCCUGGUAGUCCACACGGUAAACGAUGAAUACUCGCUGUUUGCGAUAUACAGCAAGCGGCCAAGCGAAAGCGUUAAGUAUUCCACCUGGGGAGUACGCCGGCAACGGUGAAACUCAAAGGAAUUGACGGGGGCCCGCACAAGCGGAGGAACAUGUGGUUUAAUUCGAUGAUACGCGAGGAACCUUACCCGGGCUUAAAUUGCAGAUGAAUUACGGUGAAAGCCGUAAGCCGCAAGGCAUCUGUGAAGGUGCUGCAUGGUUGUCGUCAGCUCGUGCCGUGAGGUGUCGGCUUAAGUGCCAUAACGAGCGCAACCCUUGUUGUCAGUUACUAACAGGUUCCGCUGAGGACUCUGACAAGACUGCCAUCGUAAGAUGUGAGGAAGGUGGGGAUGACGUCAAAUCAGCACGGCCCUUACGUCCGGGGCUACACACGUGUUACAAUGGGGGGUACAGAGGGC